rnacentral:rRNA from 1 species
AUUGAACGCUGGCGGCAGGCCUAACACAUGCAAGUCGAACGAGUGGCGGACGGGUGAGUAAUGUCUAGGAAACUGCCUGAUGGAGGGGGAUAACUACUGGAAACGGUAGCUAAUACCACAUACCAUUAGAUCGGCCCAGAGGGGAUUAGCUAGUUGGUGGGGUAACGGCUCACAAAGGCGACGAUCCCUAGCUGGUUUGAGAGGAUGACCAGCCACACUGGAACUGAGACAUGGUCCAGACUCCGACGGGUGGCAGCAGUGGGGAAUAUUGCACAAGGGGCGCAAGCCUGAUGCAGCCAUUCCGCGUGUAUGAAGAAGGCCUUCGGGUUGUAAAGUACUUUCAGCGGAGAGGCGUUACCCGCAGAAGAAGCACCGGCUAACUCCGUGCCAGCAGCCGCGGUAAUUC